rnacentral:lncRNA from 1 species
GAGGAUUCUUUGCCAUAAUAGUUCUCAUGUUUGAAUUAAGAAAAGACUAGAAAAGCUAAGACAGUUGAGAAAAUAUGGGAAGUUGUUUUUGACUCUAAGUUUUGGGUUCUAAAAUUGUGGUUUUAAUGGGGUUGAAAAUAAAGAUUUUUGUUUCAAUAAAAUCUUGAAUUUUGAAACUGAUGAAGUAGUAGGAGAAUCCUGACAAAAAGAAGGUGAGCAGACCUACCUAACUGUAUCAAGAAAAUGGAGCAGAGAGAACAAGAGACAGAGAAAAUACAGGAAACAAAAGGAGAUGUGAAAUUUGGAAGAGAAUUGGGAAGCUAAAUAGUAGUAGUGGAAUGUAAAAGACUGAUGAGACAGGAUUUAUC